GACGAACGCUGGCGGCGUGCCUAACACAUGCAAGUUGAGCGACGAACCAGGGCUUGCCCUGGGGCAAAGCAGCGAACGGGUGAGUAACACGUGGGUAACCUACCCCGAUAACCGGGACAACCCGAGGAAACUCGGGCUAAUACCGGAUGUGCUCACUGGACUUCGGUUCAGUGCGUAAAGGAAGCUUCGGCCUCCGUAUCGGGAGGGGCCCGCGGCCCAUUAGUUUGUUGGUGAGGUAACGGCUCACCAGGACCGCGAUGGGUAGCUGGUCUGAGAGGACGAUCAGCCACACUGGGACUGAGACACGGCCCAGACUCCUACGGGAGGCAGCAGUGGGGAAUCUUGCGCAAUGCGCGAAAGCGUGACGCAGCAACGCCGCGUGGGGGAAGAAGGCCUUCGGGUUGUAAACCCCUUUCAGGAGGGACGAAGGUUCGGCGGUGAAUAGCCGUCCGGACUGACGGUACCUCCACAAGAAGCCCCGGCUAACUACGUG
rnacentral:rRNA from 1 species